rnacentral:RNase_P_RNA from 1 species
UAAGUAAAAUAAAUGAUCGCGGCUGUAGCAAUACAGGUGAGGAAAGUCCGGGCUUCAUAGGGCAGGAUGCCGGAUAACGUCCGGUGGAGGUGACUCCAAGGCCAGUGCAACAGAAAUAUACCGCCUUGGACCGCUUGCAGUCCAAGGUAAGGGUGGAAAGGCAGCUUAAGAGACUACCGUCCUGUUGGUAACAACAGGAGCCAUGUAAACCCCAUCCGAAGCAAGACCAAGUAGAAAGCCAUAGAUUGGCCCGAUCUGCUUUCAGGUAGGUCGCUUGAAACGUUUGGUAACAAACGUUCUAGAUAGAUGAUCAUUCACGACAUAACCCGGCUUAUCGUUUUGCUUACACG